CUUUGAAAUCAACGUAUAAUUGAACCUUAUGAAAGACACCAAGACAAUGGUGUAAGGGUAUUAUCUCGUUCCUUUUACUGUUGAGAGAGAUUUUAACGGGGAUAGGGUGAUAAUUGAUAGUAAUAUCAGUUAUAAGAUACACAAAGUGUAGAAAGAGAUAGUAGCAGUUUAAUAUAAGAGUUUAUAAGACAUAGGACUAAUCGUUGGUAAUCACAAAGCAACCCUUUGUAUAGGGGAGAUAAAAGACUUGUUAGUAGUAAUGCCUGUGGUGGGUAGAGUGAAGGCAAGAGAUACCAAUAAACCAAUAAUGUAGUUGAUACCUAGUGAUAGGAGUAUAAGAUUAGAGCCUAGUACGAGUAGCACAAAUCUACAUAUACUGAGAGAAAAUGAUAGUAUACAAGGUCAAUGUAUAACAAUUUUUGCCUAAAGCGUGUGAAAGUUAAUAAGAGAGAUUUAUUCUAGUAAAAAACAUAGGUUAAGAAGAAUAGUGGGUCGCUCCCCUAUGAGGCUCUUAACUUGCUAGUGGUCGAACAAUAAGUGGUUAUAUUAAAUUAGUAUGAGGAAUACCGAUUGUACUUUGAUUUCAA
rnacentral:ncRNA from 1 species